AAGUUUAUUAUUCUUUUCCCACAUCACUAACACAUUCUGUAUACCACAGUUGUCACUAUAAUACUGCUGAAUGCUCUCACUUAUACACUAAUAUACAUUUUUUUCACUGAACACACAUUCUCUUCAUCACUUCUUGUUGCUGGAAGACAUUUGGAAAGAGUACAAGCUUUUUGUGCAAAUUAGACAUUUAACAAGUAAUCUACUGCAAUGAACUGCAAAAUUAACAAUGACAGACAAAAGGCACUUACCAACAGCUCAAUGGAGAUGUGCAUUUUCUACAUAUGAUAUUGUCUGUCUGUGUGUGUUGGCAAUUGCCAAACACGCAUUGCAAUAACAAUAAUGGAAACCCAUGUGCAGAAGAAUUCAUCCACACACACUCCAAUACAAACUGAUCACAAAAUUCUGACCAGGAAACUUAGCUUCUCAAUUAUUUCGGAAGUGGAAACACUUUUAUCUUCCUCAAACAACAAUAUUGCUAGCACAUUUCUUUUAAUUAUAAGUACAACAAACACUGCAAAUACACUCCUGCAGAACCACAAAAACACACACACACACACACACACACACACACACACACACACACACACACACAGGGUAUUAGGAACCUAAGGAUGCACCAGCAUGUGAAAGUAUUUUCCAUUACCAGUUGCCAUGUGCCACUACAAUAAGGCAGUCAUACACUAUCACAUUACAUUUUUAUGUGCGGAUAACUUAACAACAAGACAUAGCCAAUAAUCACCAAACUACAUCAGGAAUGAUUUAAAUCAAGUUUUUCCUAAAGUGGCUCUUACUCCUUUCUGUUUGAUACAUCCCUAUACAGCUCAUCAGUGUUCUUUCCCCAACCAAUGGGUAUUUAAAAACCUCAAUGGAAAACUCGAUGAUUUUUUUUAUUAUUUAUUUUUCAUUUUUUAUUUAUCUGUGAUUUUGGUUGCCACACUAUCACAAUAAGUAGCAGCCUGCUAGAAAUAUCAUGUGGAAUAAUCUGAUAAAGGAAAUCUUUCAAAAAAAAGAAGGGGCUUCACCACAAGUAUUUACCUUUGGGAAUGAUUUACUAUGAGUUUUGAGUGUGAUGUGUCUUUUUACAGAUAUGAAAAAUGAACAGCUAGUGGAGAAGUAGGAGAGCAAAGGACAGACAUGUUAGAUAUAUGGAGCCGUCUUUAGAUGGCAAAGGUACCACUGCCUGUCAAGAGCAGCCAGGGUAUUCCACCAACAGGAUACACCCUUCAAACGCCAUUACGACAUGCCACUACUACUGCAUUGGUCCUAUAAUUGAUGGAGGUAUGUUAUGAACCAUAUUACAAUGUCGUGAAGCCUGUUAGGAUGUAAGAUCAGUACACUGAUCAAGGAACGUCUACACUAUCAACCCAAUACAGAAAUGAAACACAUGGCACAGGACAUGAGAUAAUCCAAGAGAACCAACAUUUGGUUCAAAGGUUACAGAAGAAGGCUGCCCUCAGUUCUUAUGACGUGGAUCACCCAGCGUCAGAGUAAUACGAGAAGAUUAAUUGGAUACAAUAGAAAAUUUUCCCCAAAUAUGCCAAUGGAGCAAAGUACAGCUUUCAUAUAUUAAUUCCCCACAAUUUAUGUUACCCAAUUUAUUUUUUCUUAUUUUGACACUUAUCCAAAAGAUUCCACUUGUAUUGGCAAGUUCUUGGCCUCAUACAACUUACCUUAAUCUGCACAAGUCCUCUUUAUGAAAUGAUAUGCUUGUGAUUGUUUUACUAUUGCAACAAACAUUUUCAACAAAGAGUUCAGCAUUACACAAUACCUCACAACUCCUGGCCACAUAAGUGUAAUCAGUGAGCUUCCAACAAAUUGGCCUACAGUAAUAAUUAGGACUUUGAGUACAAAAUAGUGGAUCUUUCUCGUGAGUUGUAGCCACUUGUGUCCUCACCUUUCAAUGGAACUCACAUUAACACAAGUAUGACAACACAAGACCGCCCGGUUUGGUAACAGCACUACAUAACAGCUAACAGUUCCAGGCAAAGAUCCAGCUGAGGUAACUGCAUUUCUGUUGAGCCAAUGCUCUGUUUUAGACUGAGUGUAGUAUAAUAGGUUGGUAGAUGGAGUUGGAGUGAAACCUGCAGUUUUAAAGAGAAUUCUGUUCAAAUGUUGGGAGGAUCCUCAGCAAGCAAACUGGAAAUUAGUGGGAGACACAUGGAAGCCAAUAGCUACACAAAUAAGUAGAUGACAUUAGAAAAUGACAAGCAGCAGCAGUAGGAAUGGAUGUGGGUGAAAAUUUGUACGGUGUGGCAAAGUGAAGAGGCAGCUUUUAUUUAGUAGUGGGUGUCAAAUGGAUGGUGAUGAAGAAUGAAAGUGAGGACUGACGGUCAGGGGCAAUAGCGGAGAGUAAUGACAGUCUUAAAUAACUGCUAAAAGCGGGUAAACUGCCAGUAUUUGUGACAGUAUUUAUGAAACUUAAUAUUCCAUUUUUUAAUUUUUUCCUUGAGAAUUAAUUAAUUCAAAACAGACUCAUGCACAGUACACUCAAGUAGGGACUCAUCUCAUUUUCUGCCAUUAAAAGAAGGGUUUUCAUGUUUAAAUGUGUCCCUAAGAUCCUUGAAGAUGACCCACAUUAAGUACAUCUGAGAAAACAUGUAUGACAGUAGCCA